AGCAGUAGCCGCGGUAAUGCAGAGGGUGCAAGCGUUAAUCGGAAUUACUGGGCGUAAAGCGUGCGUAGGUGGUGGUUUAAGUCCGUUGUGAAAGCCCUGGGCUCAACCUGGGAAUUGCAGUGGAUACUGGAUCACUAGAGUGUGGUAGAGGAUAGUGGAAUUUCCGGUGUAGCAGUGAAAUGCGUAGAGAUCGGAAGGAACACCUGUGGCGAAAGCGGCUCACUGGACAAUAACUGACGCUGAUGCACGAAAGCUAGGGGAGCAAACAGGAUUAGAUACCCCGGUAGUCCCUGUCUCUUAUAC
rnacentral:rRNA from 1 species